ACACUCCUGCGGGAGGCAGCAGUGGGGAAUUUUGGACAAUGGGCGAAAGCCUGAUCCAGCCAUGCCGCGUGCAGGAUGAAGGCCUUCGGGUUGUAAACUGCUUUUGUACGGAACGAAACGGCCUUUUCUAAUAAAGAGGGCUAAUGACGGUACCGUAAGAAUAAGCACCGGCUAACUACGUGCCAGCAGCCGCGGUAAUACGUAGGGUGCAAGCGUUAAUCGGAAUUACUGGGCGUAAAGCGUGCGCAGGCGGUUAUGUAAGACAGUUGUGAAAUCCCCGGGCUCAACCUGGGAACUGCAUCUGUGACUGCAUAGCUAGAGUACGGUAGAGGGGGAUGGAAUUCCGCGUGUAGCAGUGAAAUGCGUAGAUAUGCGGAGGAACACCGAUGGCGAAGGCAAUCCCCUGGACCUGUACUGACGCUCAUGCACGAAAGCGUGGGGAGCAAACAGGAUUAGAAACCCUUGUAGUCCCAUGAU
rnacentral:rRNA from 1 species